GAGGCGGUUGGUAAGGCGAACGACGAGGCGCUAAGAAAACGGUUUGGCGAAAAAUGGAUGUGUGAAAACGCCAACGACGCGGAAUCCGCAAUCGCCGACGAAGCGCUUUUGUUGUUGCCGCAUCCU
rnacentral:sRNA from 1 species